ensembl:lncRNA
GGAGAAGGAGGACAGAUGAUGCUGUGUUCCAGCAGCAUUUCUGUGCUUGGCAAAACAAAAGCUCUGAAGCUAACUGGACCAACGUUUCUGAGAUGACAACUGGGAACCACUCAUUGUCAUCUGUGAAUACACCUGGAGCCUAUUGGUGAAACAAGAUUAAAAAACAGUCUGAGUUCCUGCCCCUUCCUUGGACAUUUCUAAUCAAUCAGCAGCUUUCAGAAGCAUAGCGAUGAUGCUCCUUCCACUGACUUCAGGGCAUGAAAUUCGAGUUUUGGGAACUCUAGUUAAGUGAUUUCCUGGAAUCCCUGCUACUCUGGAUUACAGAUGGAGCUGAGGAUAGGCACCUGGCAAAAGCCAGUGGGGAAGGGUCUUGUUUUAUUCCAUUUUGGUGCUGAGGAGCGAACCAGGUUCCUAUGUAUGGAGAUCAAGCAUUCAACCACUGAGCUCUAUCUCCAGCUGCAGAGAGAAGGAUUUUAUGUGCUAUCCUAUGGAGACUGUCUUGUAGAAAAUGGGACUUUCAGAGGAUUACAGAUUCAGUUACCUGUGGUCAACAUGGCCCAAAAAAUAUGAAAUGGAAAAUUCCAGGAAAACAUUUCAUAGCUUUUAUACAACUUUUACUGCAGCAUAUCAAUACUGAAGGUCCGACGUCAAAGUUCACAGGCUUGGCUACCCCUGAAGCCUUUCUCCUCGGCUUGGAAAUAGCCACUACUCACUGUGUCCUCAGAGGCUGGGUCCUGUGCUGUGAGCACUUCAGGUGUCUCUGUUCUUACAAGGACAGCAUUCAGGUUUGAUUGGGGCCAAGCUACGAGCCAGCCACCUUUUAACCUAGUUAUCUCCCCACACCUCAUCUGCAAUACACUGGGAAACGGAGUUCGAACAGCAACAUAGGAAUUUGGGGAUUGGGGAACACAGUGCAGCCCAGUGAUUAUUUAUUAUCUCUUAAAGUUGAGGUGGCAUGGGAAUUUGGACGAAGGGGCGACAGAGUUCCUGCUUCCCAAAGUCCGGAGACUCAGCUGAUGGCCUGGAGGCUGGCGACAGAGCCCAGAAGACCUGUUUAUUUAUUUAUUUUUUACUUAAAUUCUUUUAUUGGUACAUUUUAGGUAUACAGUGUGUUUACAUUUAUCAUUGGGUGCUUGUUCCUGUACAUGAUGUAUCUUGGGUCUUAUUUUUUCCCCAUUCGCUGUCCUCCCUUCCCUAUUCACAAAGACAUUGUUUCCAUUUUUUCCUUUUCUCGUAAUUUUUCCUUUCCCUUCUUUCCUUUUCCUUUCCCCUCCCACUUCCCCUACCCCUUUGGACCUCUUCUUAUUAUUUCAAAUUAUCAAUUAUUGGUUUUAAUCAUUUUAAUUCUUAUUUACACUUUUAGUUUCUCACACCAGAGGAACUAUUCAGUAUUUACACAUGUGUGUCCUAUUUAUUUCACUUAAGGGUAUGUCCUCACUAUGCAUCCAUUUAGCUACAAAUGUCUCUAGUUUCUCAUUCUUUAUUUCUGAGUAGCACUCCAUUUUGAAAAAAAACACAUCUUCUUUAUCCAGUUUCCAGUUGAUGGGCACUUGGGCUGUUUCCAAGCUUUAGCUAUUAAAAACUGUGCCGCUAUGAACAUGGGUGCACAUAUAUCGCUGUGGUAUGAUUAUUUUAAUUCUUUUGGGAAGAUCCCCAGCAGUGGAAUAGCUGGGUCAAAUGGGACCUCUAGCCCUAGUUCUUUGAGGUAUCUCCAUACUGAUUUCCACAGUGGUUGCACCAGUCUGCACUCCCACCAACAAUGGAGAAGAGUUCCUUUCUCCCCACACCCCCGCCAGCAUUUGUUAUUGGCUGAUUUCUUGAUAGCAGCCCUCGGAAGACCUGUUUAUGCGUGGUCUGCUUAUGGAUGCUGCUUGUGGGGUGUGACCUGCAGUGGAGCUGUUCCCCCCUCAGUCUCCCCAAGUUCCUUCCACUUCCAGUUGGCCUGGCUGCUGUGUUCUCAAGAGAGGAAACAGAGAUGAAGCCAGGGAGAAGCAAUCUCUUUUUGGAUGAUCUGGUCUCAGAAGACAGGCAGCAUCUUGUCUACUGUCUACCGUUAGAUAAGACAGUUAAAAAUGUGUGCCAAGAUUUAAGGGGAGAGGGCAGAGACCCCACCUGUAGUGGGAAGAAUGUCAGUGGUAGUGUAAGGAAGGCAUGUGAGAUGUGAGAGAGAUUUCUAUUUCUUUAUAUCAAUAUGUAGAUAUUACAUAUGU